AACGAACGCUGGCGGCAUGCCUAACACAUGCAAGUCGAACGAGACCUUCGGGUCUAGUGGCGCACGGGUGCGUAACGCGUGGGAACCUGCCCUUAGGUUCGGAAUAACUCCCCGAAAGGGGUGCUAAUACCGGAUAAUGUCUUCGGACCAAAGAUUUAUCGCCUUUGGAUGGGCCCGCGUUGGAUUAGCUAGUUGGUAGGGUAAAAGCCUACCAAGGCGACGAUCCAUAGCUGGUCUGAGAGGAUGAUCAGCCACACUGGGACUGAGACACGGCCCAGACUCCUACGGGGGGCAGCAGUGGGGAAUAUUGGACAAUGGGCGAGAGCCUGAUCCGGCAAUGCCGCGUGAGUGAUGAAGGCCUUAGGGUUGUAAAGCUCUUUUACCCGGGAUGAUAAUGACAGUACCGGGAGAAUAAGCUCCGGCUAACUCCGUG
rnacentral:rRNA from 1 species